GAUGAACGCUGGCGGCGUGCCUAAUACAUGCAAGUCGAGCGAACGGACGAGAAGCUUGCUUCUCUGAUGUUAGCGGCGGACGGGUGAGUAACACGUGGAUACCCUACCUAUAAGACUGGGAUAACUUCGGGAAACCGGAGCUAAUACCGGAUGAUAUUUUGAACCGCAUGGUUCAAAAGUGAAAGACGGUCUUGCUGUCACUUCUAGAUGGAUCCGCGCUGCAUUAGCUAGUUGGUAAGGUAACGGCUUACCAAGGCAACGAUGCGUAGCCGACGUGAGAGGGUGAUCGGCCACACUGGAGCUGAGACACGGUACAGAGUCCUAAGGGAGGCAGCAGUAGGGAAUCUGCCGCAAUGGGCGAAAGCCUGACGGAGCAACGCCGCGUGAGUGAUGAAGGUCUUCGGAUCGUAAAACUCGGUUAUUAGGGAAGAACAUAUGUGUAAGUAACUGUGCACAGCUUGACGGUACCGAAUCAGAAAGCCACGGCUAACUACGUG
rnacentral:rRNA from 1 species